GCCACCGCCCAGGAAGUGAGACGCCUCUCUUGCCCAGGGGCACUGGGACACCUUUGUGGCCAUCGAAGUAACAGCUCUUCAAUUGAGUUAAAAGGUCAGGCGUGAGGGAAGAAGACCUGGCCGCCCACAGAUAUCUUUUUCAUGCACUGAAUGUCCCUGUGCGCAUCGCUUUAAAUGGAUAUUUCCUGUCUCAGUUUUGACCACCGGUUCUUCCCCCACUAACAUAUAGACGCAGCCAAUUGGCAGAGAGAGUCAGGGGGGCUCAAACGGGAGCAUCGGAAAAAGAAUCACACGUGGCGAUGGAUGAGCAGUAAUUCCAUUUCCAGGCAUCCUCGCGAAAGAAUUGAAUACAGGGGCUCAGACAUGUGCUUGUACGCGAACGAUCACAGCAGCACUCACCACAACAGAUGAAAGGCGGAAACACCCCGAUGCCCAUCAAUCAGUGAACAGAUAAACACAAUGUGAUUAUGGAAGGCAUCCUGGAGGAAGUGAUUACUCAGCUGAGCCUUGAGGAAUGUUGAAAGCUGUCAGAUGAAGAAAUGCAGGAAAAGCAUUGCAGGCUGAAGGUUUGGGAAGAACAAAGAUAUGGAGGCAUAAAUCAGCAUGGUAUAAAUGGGGAUAUCAUCAAAGCUUAAAUUGUGAAGAAGAGCCUGGCUAAAAACAUGGGGAGAAGUCAGGUCAUGGAGAGACUUAUAUGGCAGUAUUUUUCAGUCAACACAAGUUGUGAGCGACUAGGGGAAGUGUCAGCUGCCUCCUGGUUCCCCCAAGCUCUAAGUCAAUUCUCGAAAGUCGCAUUCAGUCCCCACCUAAACACUUAAACAGGAAACUCACCCUGAGAACUGGAGGGGUGGGUGGUGGGGAUGCAUCAUGGAGACUCCGACAGGCCAACCAGCAUAAUACUCUCCCUUUCAAAGCCUCAGGCAUCCUGUCACAUAGUACAAGAGACAGGUGUCUGAGAAUUUCCGGAUGAAGCCUGAUAUCCACAUCCUAAUUGCAUCCAACAGCACGGCCACCUUGAGAACAGAGCCUGAGCCCGUGCCCCAAUGGCUAGGCUGGGCUUGUUGGCUCUCACUAGUACCCAUCGCAAAGAGAGAGCCUGUCCCUCUCAUCUGUCCUCUUAUGGGCAGGGAUUCUACCAGGAAUGGAUCCAUCUCCCCAAACUCUGCUGUCUUCCAGCUACUUGUUUGCUUUGAGCUACCAUUUUUAGGCACUUGCUACAUAUUAAGCCCAUUGCUAAACUCUUGUCAUGCAUUCACUCCAUUACUUUAAGCUUCUCAGCAACUCUCCAAAUAGAUUUUAUUGUUUCAAUUUGCAGAUGAAGAAAAUGAAGCUUAAAAACAUGAAAUAACUUGCUGAUAGUCACAGAAAUCCUGAAUGUCAGGUCCGAAAUGGGAGCCAUCAUCUCAGCACCUGCACAUUACUUCCUCCUGUUUCCCGAGUAGCCACUGAGGGAGGGGUCCCCCUACCCGCUGCUCCAACAGCUUGAUGGAACAUCAGCCUGGGUCACCUCUGUGCCUUUUGGGCACAAUUUAGGCUGCCCUUCCGGGACUGCCUUCUUAGCUAAGUCACUUUAGGGGGUGCUGGGUCUUGGCAGUGUGGCAGCUACACCUUGUCCUUGCUGACACGGUGGCAGUGCUCUCCUAGCCUACUGUCAACCUGAAUCGAAUGCUUUAUUAGCCCCAUUCGCAAAUUCAAUAACUUAGGUUGAGAGAGGACAAGAACACAUAACACCAAAUCACAGCGUCAAGACUCAAAAACCUCCCAAACCAGCCACAUCCCACAGGCUGUAUUGUCUUUCUCGAUGGUCAGUCCCAUGGCCAAGAAGCAUCCUGUCAGAGGCAUAAGGAAUAUCUGAGAGAAGAGCUGUACCAGCCCCUUCAAACUACCAGUUUACAAUUCUGCUGGAUGACUGGGAAUGUAAGAUAAACUGUAAAAAGAGAAAAAACAAUGUGGAAAGGCCCUUCGUGCUAACAACAUAACUCAUAGCCCGUCUACUUCUUACUCUCUUCUUAUCAAGGAAAGAUAGAACAGUGGAGGGAUGAGUGGCCAAGGUGUGGAUUCAGCCUCAAAUGAUCCAAAACAAAGAUAAAUGUCCGGAAAAUGUGGAGCCCUGAUUCAUAUUCUUACAGGCAAGAAUUAUCCUGCCAAGCCACCAGCUUUUCUCUUUACCUGAUCAGGAUGAAAGCCCAUUUGCAAGGUAAGAUCAUCUUGGAAAAGAAAUGGAGCCACGUGAAGCCUUGCAGAUCCACAAGAGUCUGGUUUGCUGGGAGUGAACCAGAUAGAAUCUGACUAUUGCUGCUGUGCCCAAUUUGCUGAAUUCAUAAAGCAAAAAAUCAAAAUCUAGCCUUUCUUCCAUGUCUAGCCAUCUGUUUCUGUGAGUCUGCCCACAUGCCCUGGACCUCUGGAGGGCAGAGUUCCAGGCCACUGUUCUGCCAUUUUGACAGCUUUGCAGCUGUGACCCAUGUACUGGAAAGAGCUGUGUGCAGUGCCUUGGUCUUGGAACUUUACACAUUUUUGACGUGAUUAGGUAUUUACAACUGGAAGUGCAGCCAGAGUCCAGUGUUUCCAGGGAUGAUGCGUAUAACCCAGAGGUUCUAAUGUGGCUGCUCCUGGCUUUGGCUGGGAUCACGUAAGUUCUUAGGAGUUUACCCACAGGUCAUGAACAUGAGAUUAUAAAACAGCCACACUGGGACCUUCAUCCAGAUGGAUAAGUUGUAUAAAACUUUCUCCACCACAGUUUCAGAAGGUGGUUUUGUAGAAGGCAUUCAUAAACAUUUUGCAAAAGUCAUUAGCAGUGACGUGGUAGAACAGACACGUCCUUGGUAUUUCCUACAUUACACGUAUUUGCAUAACAGCAAAAAAAGGAUGGAGGGGCACUUGGGUGGCUCAGUUCGUUGAGCGACUGAGGCUUAGGUCAUGAUCCCAGGGUCAUGGGAUUGAGCCCGGAGUCAGGCUCUGAGCUGAGUGUGGAUCCUGCUUAAGAUUCUCUUUCUCUCUCCUCUGCCCCUCUCCUUCACUUGCACACGUGCUCUCUCUCUCUCUCAAAAAAAAAAAAAAAAAAAAAAAAGAUGGAAAUUACCCAAGGAUAAAAAUACAGUUGAUUAAAUAAAAAGCCUUUCAAACCAUAAGAGACUUUUAAAUACAGAGAACAAAUGGAGGGUGGAUGGGGGGAGGUAGCAAGAGGGGAAAUGGGUGAUGGGCAGUGAGGAGGGCACUUGUUGGGAUGAGCACUGGGUGUUGUAUGUAAGCGAUGAACCAUGGGAAUCUACCCCAAAAACCAAGAGCACACUUUACACCCUUUAUGU